rnacentral:lncRNA from 1 species
GAAAGAGAAGAAGAAUUAAAAUUCUGCAGAGUUUCUCUCUGCCCAUAAACUGUGGAAAAAUUUCUUAUUCACUUUGCAAUUGCAAAAUACUGUGAAGGACAAAUGUUAUUAAUACUUUAUUCACUUUAUUACAAGAAUAAGGGUUACUCCCUCUAUUUAUAGGUUUAGGUUAACUUGGACCUCAAGUCAAAGCCCAAAACUAUAAAAGCCCAAAAUAGCUAACACUACUAAAAUAGGCCUAAGUCAAAAUUC